AUGGGUGGCGUUUUGGGUUUAGUGCAGGUUGAUCAGUCAACUGUUGCUAUCAAAGAAACUUUUGGGAAGUUUAAUGAGGUCCUGGAGCCUGGUUGCCACUUCUUGCCUUGGUGCAUAGGGCAACGGAUUGUUGGUUACCUCUCACUGCGUGUGAAACAGCUAGACGUCCGAUGUGAAACCAAAACAAAGGAUAAUGUCUUUGUGACUGUUGUUGCUUCUGUCCAAUACCGUGCCCUUGUUGAUAAGGCAUCUGAUGCCUUCUACAAACUGAGCAACACAAAGCAACAAAUCCAGUCGUACGUCUUUGAUGUUAUUAGAGCCACUGUCCCAAAGCUGGAGCUGGACGAUGCAUUUGUGCAGAAAGAUGACAUUGCAAAAGCUGUUGAAGAGGAGCUUGAAAAGGCAAUGUCUAUGUAUGGGUAUGAGAUUGUGCAAACUCUGAUAGUUGACAUUGAGCCUGAUGUGCAUGUCAAGAGGGCAAUGAAUGAGAUCAAUGCAGCUUCUAGGAUGAGGUCGGCAGCCAACGACAAAGCAGAGGCUGAAAAGAUUCUCCAGAUUAAACGAGCAGAGGGAGAAGCCGAGUCAAAGUACUUGGCUGGUGUGGGCAUUGCAAGGCAGCGUCAGGCUAUCGUGGAUGGUCUGAGAGACAGCGUCCUCGCCUUCUCUGAGAACGUCCCUGGCACCACUGCAAAGGACAUCAUGGACAUGGUUCUGGUUACCCAGUACUUCGACACCAUGAAAGAGAUUGGGGCCUCGUCCAAGUCUUCUUCGGUGUUCAUCCCCCAUGGUCCUGGGGCCGUCAAGGAUGUGGCAUCGCAGAUCAGAGAUGGGCUCCUUCAGGCCAACACUCUCUAA
rnacentral:rRNA from 1 species